rnacentral:rRNA from 1 species
GACAGAGGGUGCAAACGUUGCUCGGAAUCACUGGGCGUAAAGGGCGCGUAGGCGGGAAUGUAAGUCGGGCGUGAAAUCCCCAGGCUCAACCUGGGAACUGCACUCGAAACUGCGUUUCUUGAGUAUCGGAGAGGAAAGCGGAAUUCCUGGUGUAGAGGUGAAAUUCGUAGAUAUCAGGAGGAACACCAGUGGCGAAGGCGGCUUUCUGGACGGUAACUGACGCUGAG